rnacentral:rRNA from 1 species
AACGAACGCUGGCGGCAUGCCUAACACAUGCAAGUCGAACGGAACAUGCGGGCCUAGUGGCGCACGGGUGGGUAACGGGUGGGAACCUGCCUAUAGGUUCGGAAUAACUCCCCGGAAGACGUGCUAAUACCGGAUAAUGUCUUCGGACCGAAGAUUUAUCGCCUUUGGAUGGGCCCGCGUCGGAUUAGUUAGUUGGUAGGGUAAAAGCCUACCAAGGGGACGAUCCAUAGCUGGUCUGAGAGGAUGAUCAGCCACACUGGGACUGGGACACGGCCCAGACUCCUACGGGAGGCAGCAGUGGGGAAUAUUGGCCAAUGGGCGAUAGCCUGAUGCAGCAAUGCCGCGUGAGUGAUGAAGGCCUUAGGGUUGUAAAGCUCUUUUACCCGUGAUGAUAAUGACAUUACCGGGAGAAUAAGCUCCGGCUAACUCCGUG